AUUGAACGCUGGCGGCAGGCCUAACACAUGCAAGUCGAACGAGUGGCGGACGGGUGAGUAAUGUCUGGGAAACUGCCUGAUGGAGGGGGAUAACUACUGGAAACGGUAGCUAAUACCGCAUACCAUCAGAUGUGCCCAGAUGGGAUUUGCUAGUUGGUGGGGUAACGGCGCACCAAGGCGACGAUCCCUAGCUGGUCUGAGAGGAUGAACAGCACACCUGGAACUGAGCAUCGGUCCAGAAUCCUACGGGAGGCAGCAGUGGGGAAUAUUGCACAAUGGGCGCAAGCCUGAUGCAGCCAUGCCGCUUGUAUGAAGAAGGCCUUCGGGUUGUAAAGUACUUGCAGCGGGGAGGCGUUACCCGCAGAAGAAGCACCGGCUAACUCCGUGCCAGCAGCCGCGGUAAUAC
rnacentral:rRNA from 1 species